rnacentral:rRNA from 1 species
GAAUAUUAGUCAAUGCUCGCAAGAGUGAACUAGCUAACUGAAAUCAAUUAUAAUAAUUGAUAACAUAAGGGAAAAAAAUGAUAUUACCUUAUUAUUAGUGUCGUCCAAAACUGGUGCCAGAAGACUCGGUAAGGCCAGAGACACAAACGUUAAUCGUCUUAAUCAGGCGUAAAGGGUUUGUAGGCGGCUUAAAAAUUUACUUAUAUAUAAAAAAAAAAGUAAGUAAAAAAUAAAAGCUAGAAUCAAAUAGAGGAUAUAUGAAAGAAUGCUUAGAGUAGGUCUGAUAUCCUUAGAUACUAAGUAGAAUAUUAAAGGCGAAAGCUUUUUUCCAUUAAUGAUUGACGCUCAGAAACGAAGGUGAGGAUAGGAAAUAGGAUUAGAUACCCAGAAUACCCCUCUCUGUCAACGAUGAAUGGUAAUUAUUAGUAAAAAGUUAUGAAUGAUAAUGUUAACACGAUAACCAUUCCGCCUUGUGAGUACAACUGCAAAGUUGAAAACAAAAAAAUUAGUCGGUUUCGGAGCAAACGAAGUGAAGCAUGUUAUUUAA